rnacentral:rRNA from 1 species
GACGAACGCUGGCGGCGUGCUUAACACAUGCAAGUCGAACGAAGUGGCGAACGGGUGAGUAACGCGUAAUCAACCUGCCCUUCAGAGGGGGACAACAGUUGGAAACGACUGCUAAUACCGCAUACUGAAGGGGGGGAUUGCGUCUGAUUAGCUAGUUGGAGGGGGAACGGCCCACCCAGGCGAUGAUCAGUAGCCGGGCUGGGAGGAAGGACGGCCAAAUUGGGACUGGGACACGGCCCAGACCUCUACGGGAGGCAGCAGGGGGGAAUCUUCCGAAAUGGACGAAAGUCUGACGGAGCAACGCCGCGUGAGUGAUGACGGCCUUCGGGUUGUAAAGCUCUGUUAAGCGGGAAGCGGUACCGGAAUAGAAAGCCACGGCUAACUACGUGCCAGCAGCCGCGGUAAUUC